UUUGUUUAUGCAAGUGUUCAGUAUGCGUUUGCUACAUGGUUUGCGAAAAUCACGCAUGUUGUGCACUGAUUAGCUUAUGCUUCUUUUUUGAUUAAUCGAUUGCACAAUAUUUAAUACAUUUCAUAUAAAAAAAAGCUAUUGUCGACAAAAGGUCAUGCAGACCAUCCGCUGAGUAAUGUAAUGAAUAGCUGUGGGAGCUUUAAUACUAACACGAAGCUACGUGGACCAAGGAACUCAGAGACACCAGAAGAGUCUCCUUGUAAUAGUCAAGGAAGUGAUACCGAUAAAGGAGACGGAGGUACUCUGACUAACUUUGGUAUCAACGAGUUUAAUGUCCCUCGUGGCACUUUGGUUAUUUGCCAACGAAAUUCCAACAAUUAUCUAUCGGAUCAUUCAUUUUCUAAGUUUAAACCAAGAAUUAGUGGGAUACCACGCAAUGAAUUUCGAAUGGCUCGUGGUAGCAAUUCAGGAGAUCGUGGUAGAGGAGGAUUACGUGGUCGAGGUUUUAAGAAAACAUCUGAACGUGAUGCAAAUGCAGAGCCCAGUUAUCACUCGGUACCUAAACCCAAGUUUCAAGAAUCGUUGAAAAAUCAAGAAAAUUCGCAGAACAAAUACUAUGACGAUAAAAGAAUAAAUGAGGAGUCCAGAAUUUCUAAACUUUUGAGGCGAUUAUGCCGUGAAGAUGAUUAUGAUCAUUUCAUGAUGCUUUGCAAACAAUUACAAGAAGGUAUACUAGCACCUGAAAAUCAAAGAUAUAUACGACGGAGCUUGGAGCAUAUUUGCGAAAGCUUAUUAGAUAUACUACACUCUGGUCCUGGACCAGAUGCAAAGCAGCAUGUGACUAAAUGUUUAGGUCGUAUCGGAUAUGUGGUAGAUCAAGAUUUCAAAAGAUUUUUAGAAUGGACUUUUAGUAAGUAUGCCUUGGAAAGAAAAGAUGACAUUAAAUGUCUUCUAAUCAAAUCUUUUGUCGAAAUGCUCAAACUGGAUGCAGAAACACCAAGAUUAAAGGAAUUCUCAGUGUCUAUGAUGUCACAUUUGCAAUCAACGUUGGAAAAUGUUGAUAGAUCAGACUUAUUAGUGGCUACAGUGGAUGCCAUAUUAUUAUUAAUUGAAUCAUAUCCCGAAACUUUUUCCAAUCAUUUCCGUGAUACGGUCGAUAUUUUAGUGGGAUGGCAUAUAGAUUCAACGCAACAAAGAUCUAUCGUAGCUUAUGCGAGUAAAAGCUUGCAGAAAUUACGGUCAUUUUGGAUUACAGAUUUACAGUUUACAUUGACAUUAUUAGGACAAUUUUUGGAAGACAUGGAAAGUUACGAUGAAGAAUUAACUUCACCUGAAUCUGGUAGAAAUUCACCUGGCGAUGUAACAUUUCCAACACCUAAAGAAUGUAUACUUCGCAUCACAUCUUUGAUAUCUGUGUUUAAUACUGUGACCAAAAGUAUAUCUGAUCGUUUGAAUCCUAAUCUUACACCUAAUGUGCAGUGGUCCUUUUUAAUGGAUUGCCUAUCAAAAAUGUUAAAAACUGUAGUAAAAGCAAUUGAAUUAAAUGAAGGUUACGAGGAAUGGUCACAAAAUCUUGUCGCACCACUUGAAAAUCAUGACAAUGUAAUUAGAUGCGCGAGGCAUAUGAAUUCGACGCAAAAACAUGUUGAAAUACUUUUGAAAAGUUUUAAUAAGGAAGAAAUCAGGGAAGAGAAUUUAAUAAAGAUGCUCAAAUGUUUAUACAUCAGCAAGAAAAAUGAUUAUAAAAAUUCUAAGAUUGUCAUUGAUAAAGAUAUAUUUUCAAAAGAAAAGGAACAAUCUUUGAUGAACGUACUCGCUUCGAUGGAAUUUAAAAGAAAAAAAAAUAUCGAUUUGUCAGAAGAAAAAGAAGAACUAAUUGUGGUUGCAAACGAAUGUGCAUUUUUGCUUCUAGGAUAUAUUCAAAGUCGUGUGACUAAAAAUCAUGAUCUUCUUUAUAAAUUCAUCGAUCUUCAAUUGCAAAGAGUCAACAUUUUUUGGGACGACACUAUUAUUUCUAUGUUGAACACCAUCUCUAAAGUAAUUAAAGAGGUAUCAGCUAAUUUACCUUUAGAACUGGUGCAUAAAUUGCUUGGAAAAAAUUCCACCUUAUUAAAAUUAAGGUUCAGAAAUUCUAUAACCAUUCAAAAUGCUAGCCUUGGUGUAUAUCACAGCCUUUUGAGUUUAAAGAAUAUUCCAUUAUUACAAGAGGCAUACAGAUAUAUAUUAGCUGAUUUAGAAGUGGCUUACAAACUUAUAAGAGACAUUGAUUGCUUAGUCAUAGACAAUCCUUUCACCGAUGUGCAAUAUAAAAAGUCAGAUGCUGAAAUUGUUAUUAUUUUUAUUCUACGUGCACUUUCAGAUAUUGCAAAUGCAAGUAAUUCUAUAAUUGGAAUGUGGGCAUUAAAACCAACAAUCUUAGAACUCCUUGCUGUUAAAUUAAAACCGUAUGAUCCAGCAUUAUCUAUUGCCAGUCCAUUGUUACAGUAUAGCAUUUUGUACCUGCUUUAUGCACAUUGCUCUAGGUAUAAUCAUUUUAUACCAAGUUCUAGUUUAAUAACAGGAAUAACUACAUGCCGCCCAAUAGAUAUGUUUCCUGGAACAUUAGAUGUACCAACAACGUCACCUACAAGUGGACAUUUAUCUAUAAUACUUAAUCUUAUAGCAAAGACAUAUAACAAGAGAAGUUCAAACAGAACAUUAUUACUUUUAUCUAAUUGGAUGCAAGAGAUUUGUAUACAGUCUGAAAAUUACAUUGGUAUUUUGAGUAAAACUCAGGAAUGUGAAAAUGUUAUUACCAGUUUAAUUGCUUGUGGUACUACAACCGAUUAUGAUAUUUUAAUCGCUAUUUGUUCUAUUUUUGAAAUUUUAAUGAGUUCAAAAAAUGUUGUCUGGCGACAAGAAAUUUAUUCAAGUAUUGUAGACUUUGCGAUGUUACAUCUAACUUCGUACGACAAGCAUGUACGUGAAAAGUAUAGUCAACUGUUAAUGAACGUGCCUCUUAAUAUUGUUAUUCCAAAGUUAAAUAAAGAAUACUUACCGUCAGAAACAAAGAAAUUUCAAGAGAUUGAGAGUUAUUCAUUAGAAUCUGUAAUUCUCGCACAGAGAUUACACAUGAGAGGUAACAACAAUGGUGAAAUGCAAGCGCAAUAUUUUAAAACUUAUAUGGCAUUUUUAUUGCAAGAACAUUAUAUCGAUGCAUCUGGUUUAGCUGAAAUAUUUACUUUGUGCUGGCCAACAGUGUCUGAAAAUGAGAUAAUGACAAAAAUGCAUUCGCUAGCUCUCGCAAAUUGUUCUUUCUUAUUUUUUUGGUGUGGCCUUGAAGCUGCGCAACAUUGCGUAAUUAAUAAGCUGCGUACUUCUCUUGGGAAACCUCAAGAAACAUUUACAAGCAUUGAAGGAGCAUUGAAAAUUUUGGCUCGUGAGAUAUCAUACAAUUCAGAAAUAGUGAAGAAAGAUAAUCAUGGUUUAGAUUACCUGUUGCACGAACACACACGUGUAAGACUUUUUAUAGAAUUCCUGGAACAUUUAGAGAGAGUUAUUCACAAUGCUGCGGAAGGAUGUGCUGUAGCAUUACCACCUUUGUCAAAGCCAGUACGAACUUUCUUCCAUACUAAUAAAUCUACAUGCAAAGAAUGGUUGAAUCGCAUUCGUUUAGCUCUAUGCGUUGUUUCAUUACAUUCGGGAUUAGCAACAGUAGCUUUAAGGAAUGGUCAAAGACUUUUAGAAGAUUUAAGUAUUUGUGAGAAUACUCAAGGUAUAGAGUUUGAGAGGGCAACUCUUUGUACAGCUCAAGCUAUGGUCAUGUUAGGAGAAGCAGAAGCAUUACAAGGACUUUAUAUAUAUACAAAAGAAAAAGAUAGAAAGUUUCCUUGGUUGAAAGCAGCGAUGGAAGAAGCUGCUGGUCAUUAUGAAUCAGCAGCUGACAAUUAUAAACAAAUAAUCGAAGAGCAAUGGUAUAAUAUCGAUGAAGAUAUAAGAGGUGCAAAAAUAGAUGGUGACAAUCAAGUGGCAACAUUUUGUAUGCAACAUCUUACUAAGUGUUACAGAGCUGUUAAUGAUUGGACUCAGUUAGAAACAUGGAAAAUGAUAGAAAAUGAUAUCUUGCUGCAAGAAAAGAAUAUCCUCCUAAAGAAACAAAUGAUGGAAAACAUAGUUCCUCAGCAGGCAAAAUGUUUAAAAAAGUUUGAAAUUGGUGAAAUUAUUUCCAUGGAAGAGUUGUCUAAUUGGAAUCUAUUGGAUGAAGAAACAAGAACAAAUUGGAGCUGUGCUAAGACUAUUAUCGAAUGCAAUAACACUUUAACUAAUAUUGCAAUGAGCGCUCAUAUCAAUGAAUAUAAAACUUCGUUUGAAAAAGACAUACAGAGAUGUCAGAAAGUUGCUGCUAAAACUAUGGAAGAAGGCUUACGAAAUGUACCUUCAGAGUAUUUAAGUGAUUCCAUAUUGAUACAAUAUUCUGCUACCGGUUUGAAAAAUUUACUAGCUGGAAAACAAAGCAAUGUAUUUGAAUUAUACAAAGAGGACAAAAUUAAUAAUUUAAGUACCAGUAUAUUGACACAAAUUUUAUGGUGGUCAGAUUAUUUCUGUAAAACAAAUAAUUCUAUUUCCAACGAAGUGGCUAGUUUGAGAUUACACGUGGUUCGAAGUGCUAGAAAAGAAGGGAAUUUUAAUUUAGCUAAACGAGAAAUGAUAAAGUACUUCGAAAUCGAACAAGACUUAUUCCAAAUCAAAGAUUUACAGGGUUGCAAUUUUACAGAGAUUAUAGACAAAAUGCUUACUGAGUCUAUGAACGUAAAAUGGUCGAAAAAUAAUAUGCGAGCAUUCAGAGAAUUUGCUAAAUUGCUGUACGACAUGGAAAAUAUAGAAGAGGCAUUGAAAAUAUGCAGUGCAACAGCGCUUGGAAUUUCUCAGUCUAUUGUAGGUGGGGAGCAAUUAACAGAUCUAAGAGAAACUGGAACUAAACUUUUGCUCACUCUUAGUAAAUGGAUACAACAGGAUGCCAAUAUAACCGAUAAUCAUCAGUUAGAAGAUCUACUACGAUUCGAAGCUGUUCAUAAUGAUGGCUUAAUGAAUAAAUUAUUUGGAGACACAACAGAUUUAAUACCAACAUCGGAUAUGAUUAUUGGAAAGUUAAUGCAACUAGGCGUAAAUCAAUGUCCUGAUCUGCCUUUGGCAUGGUCCAGCUUUGCAGCCUGGUGCUACAAAUGGGGAAGAAAAAUAGUUGAUAAUUCUAAUUCUGGCCAACUCACAGAUACAGAUCGAAUAAAUAUACAAUCAUUGUUGCCUAUAGAUAUUACUGAAAAUGAUCUUAAUGCAGUAUUUUCCAUAUUAAGCCAAAAUAAAACUAUUCCAGAAGAUGAGGGUGAUAUUGAUACGAAUGAUAUAAAUACAUCAGAGAUGAUAGAAAAUCAAUUGAGAAAUGUUCCAAUUUUAUGUCAUGCCAAUAAUGAACACCUUGGAAUGUUAGUCGACAUAUGGAGGCAAGCACAGAAACGAAUUUAUUCUUAUUAUGAAUUAUCUGCUAAUGCUUACUUUAAAUAUUUGCAAUUAGCAAAUAAUGAAAACAACAAUUGCGAUACUAUUACAGCUACAUUAAGACUUUUACGUCUUGUUGUAAAACAUGCUUUAGAACUUCAGAAUGUACUUGAAUCUGGACUUUCAACUACACCUACCGGUCCAUGGAAAGAAAUUAUACCACAACUAUUUUCAAGAUUAAGUCAUCCGGAAGCAUAUGUACGGACCCAAGUUUCCGAACUUUUAUGCAGAGUGGCAGAAAAUUCUCCUCAUUUGAUAACUUUCCCUGCAGUAGUAGGAGCUGUUUCUGGUCAAAGAAAAAAUUAUGAUAAAAUGGUUUAUGAAAGAACUGAAAAUGAUAUCUCUCAGCACAAUGAUUUAGAUUACAUAGAAGAGGAUACUGAAUCUACUUAUAAUGAUGAAAAUCAAGGCUUUAUGGAUGCUUGUUUCGCACAAUUAGUUGAUUGUUUAUCCAAUAGAAUCCUAGAUUCCGUUAGUCAAGUAAAAAUACUUGUAAGAGAACUUCGUAGAAUUACGUUGUUAUGGGAUGAAUUAUGGUUAGCAACAUUGUGCCAACAUCACACAGAAAUUAGUAAGAGAUUUGAACAGCUCGAGUUUGAAGUUCAAAAAGUACAAGACAAUAUUUGGCUUACUCCGGAAGAAAAAGAUAAGUUAAUUGCUGAAAAGCAUAGAAUCAUAUUGAAACCAAUUGUAUUCAUCCUUGAAAAUCUUUUAUCAAUGACAUCUGUAUCGGCAGAAACUCCACAUGAAAAAAAUUUUCAAGAUAAAUUCGGCCCUACCAUUCAAGAAGUUAUUAGUAGAUUAAAUAAUCCAAAAAAUCCUGCUAAACCUCAAAUGGCUGCACUGCCCUUAAAACAUUUGGAAACAAAAUUGGCACAACGUGUACAGAAACGGACUGCUUAUUCAUUAUCAAUGACAGAUAUUAGUCCAAUCCUAGCUAAUUUAAAGGGUACAUGUAUUGCUAUGCCAGGUGUUGCUGCUAUUGGCAAUAAAGUUGUUACUAUUAAAUCUGUUAAUAAUAACGUACAAAUACUACCAACUAAAACAAAACCAAAGAAGCUUAUGUUUCAUGGUUCGGAUGGUCAUACUUAUACAUAUUUAUUUAAAGGAUUAGAAGAUUUACAUCUUGAUGAAAGAAUCAUGCAAUUUUUAAAUAUAUGUAAUACUAUGAUGUCUAAAAACAGCGAUACCAAAAAAGUUUAUAGAGCACGUCAUUAUUCCGUCAUUCCUUUAGGACCACGAUCUGGUCUUAUACAAUGGGUCGAUGGUGUUACGCCAUUAUUUGUUCUUUACAAACGUUGGCAGCAGAGAGAAAGUGCUAUGGCAAAUAAAACUGGGAACACAGCAAUUUUACGACCUUCUGAAUUAUUCUAUAAUAAAUUAACACCAUUACUGAAUGAAAGAGGAAUAGCAUUGGAUAAUAGAAAAGAAUGGCCUCUUCCUAUACUCAAACAAGUAUUAUCUGAAUUAAUGACAGAGACACCAAAAGAUUUAUUAGCUAAAGAAAUUUGGUGUAACAGCAUAAACGCCGGAUGUUGGUGGCAAGCAACUAAAAAUUAUUCAUAUUCCGUUGCUGUUAUGUCUAUUAUUGGCUACAUCAUAGGCUUGGGCGAUAGACAUUUAGAUAAUGUAUUAGUUGAUCUAAAUACUGGAGAAGUAGUACAUAUAGAUUAUAAUGUAUGCUUUGAAAAGGGAAAGACCUUACGUGUCCCUGAAAAGGUACCUUUCAGAAUGACACCCAAUAUUAAAGCUGCAUUAGGUGUAACUGGUGUAGAGGGUAUAUUUCGAUUGGCCUGCGAACAUACUCUUAGAGUUAUGCGUAGAGGAAAAGAAACAUUGCUUACCUUAUUGGAAGCAUUUGUAUAUGAUCCUUUGGUAGAUUGGAGAGCUGGAGCUGAUAAUAGUAUUGCAAGUUAUGGAGCAUGUCAAGCUAGAGCAAGAUGUACUGGUAUAGGACGGAAACAACUAGAACAGGAACUUACACGAGCUAUGUUUGCUGUUAGAAUUGCAGAAAUGCGAGCAGAAUGGCUUGCAAACAGGGAUGAAUUAGUUAAAACUUUUCCUUUGUUAUGUCAUCACUUAACAUGUUGGAUUGAGGCAACUGAAGCAUCGCAACAGUGUCAAGACUUAUUGCAAGAUAGACAUCAACAACUUGCUUUAGUAAAAGAGGCACAAGCAAUGGGACGUAAUCAUGUUUUAUAUUCAGUGGUAAAAAGGUAUAAUACAUUUAAGCGUGCAAGAGAUGCACAUGAAAAAGCCAGAAUUGGAUUGAAAGAAAAAAUAGAAGAAUGUGAAAAACAAAUUAAUAUGCAUAAUAUUGCAUUGGCUUCUGUAAGAGGACCACAAUUAGGUCAGUGGUUAGCAGAAUUAGGAACGUCAGCUACACGAGAAGAUCAUGUUGUUUUUGAUCUUGUUAAAGAAUUUUUACAAAAUGCAGGCCAAAAUCAGAUGAUUAUUCAGUGUGAGCAAUCCGAGAACGAAUUAACGCAAUUAGCUACUCAACAGUCUAUUCUUAUUCGCAGUUGUUUGGAUCUUAUGAGUCAAUAUUCAGCAAUAUGUAAUCUUUAUCCAAUAAGUAUCGUUUCGCAACACCGUACGAUUGUUUAUCAUGCUUGGGCAAAUAAGUUGUUGGCAUCACCAACGGUAGAGGCUUGUCAUGAAGUAAUGAAUCAAUUUGAAGCAAAUUUUGGCCAAAUGAAUGGAAAUAAUUCUCAAGAACAAAUAGUAACUUUUUCUUAUCAUAUGCAAGCUAUCUUAAAUGAAGCGAAUGAGAGAUUUAAAAAAGCUUACGAAAGAAUGGUUUCCGAGGGUCUACCAGAAGCCAUCAGUAGAAUCGAAAAGGCAUAUACAGAAUCAAGAGUUCAGAUCACAGGAUUUUUAAGACGCGAGAAAGGUGCAGAAAGAGCAUUCGAGAGUGUUAAUAUAACAGCGCUUUGUGCAUUAAACAAAAGAUAUUUAAUAAUGGAGGGAGCUGCUAAAUGUGCAGGAGACUGUUUAGUUGACCUUACAUCGAGAGAAGGAGAUUGGUUUUUAGAUGAAAUGAGAUUGAUAUCCUCCUUAAUAUCUGAAUUUGUUACAUUGAUACCCGAGAAUCAUAAAACAAACAAUGAUCCAAAAAUAUCUCUUGUAUUAAAAUGUCUUAAAAGUGCUGACUCCAUUUACAAAGGAUUGCAAGAACUUAAUUACAAUUUUCACACGAUUAUUUUACCAGAGGCCAUGAAAACAAUUAUCACAGAAGAACCAACCGUAAUUAGAAUGAUUAACGAAUUAAAUGAAAUAAUUAUAUCGACAGGAAUACCCCUUGGUGAUAUUCUUAGACAACUAGAAAUACACCUGAGAUUCACUAUAAUGGAAAUGGAAAGUCCACAUGCUAUGGUACAAAACUUAGUAUCUAAUAUGAGAUCACGUUUUGAAACAUUACUAUCUAGACCUGCAGAUAUUCAGGAACUUAAUCACGACGAGACAUUAACACCUGGCCAAAUGCUUUUGAUGGGUUUUAAUGGAUUGUUUGAAAAGUUACAAAUGGAAGGUAAUGCUCUGGUAAGCACAUUAAGUUCCCUUGAUAUUCCAAUUAAUUGGAAAAAAAUCGACCAAAUUAGAGAAGCUAAAGAAAUGGCUGGACCCAUAUUUAAUAAAACAGCACGACAAGUUUUAGAAGAUAUUUUCCUGAUAAAGAGAUUAUGUACAAUACAAGAGUUUUUUAUAAUGUGUAGAGAUAUUGCUACAGCAUUUAAAGGGGAAAUUGCAAAUGUUUAUGAUGACGAAAGAUUAAAUAAACCAGUAAGAGUAUUUACUGCUGAUUAUGUCUCUAGACAACUCCUUGGAGUAACGACCCAAACACUUGCCAUUGCAUUAUGCUUUUUAUUACAAAGAAUGGGAUUAAAUGUUACUACUGAGAUUGAACAAAGAGAUAUUGGAGCGGAGAGUAAAGUUUCACUCGACGAAUUAUGUAGAAAAAUGGUCGAUUUAUGUUUAAAACAGGGUCUUUUUACGGGAUCUGUUUUAGCUCAAGCUAGCACAUUGAGUAGUACGUUAGAAAGUACUUGGAGAAGAAAACAAAGUUCAAGACUGGCACAACAAGGUGUUGAAUUAUCACGCGCUAGUGUACAAAGACUGCAACUCCAAUUAACAGCACAUAAUUGGUUGCACGAAGAUAAUUUUCUACUGAGAUCUAACAUGAGUCCCAUGAAUCCAUUAAAUCGUUCCGCGUUUAUGUUGGAAUUAAGAAAAACAGCUGCAGCUCUAUCCAAUUUACAAUCAAGAGUAUGCGAAGCACGUGAGCAGCAACAAAACCUGGUAUCCAGCGCUAUACAGCGUUUGAAAUGGGCUGCUGGAGCUAAUCCAGCAUUAGGCGAGGUCAUGUCAGCAUUUGAUAAUGCUGUAUUAUCUUCGUGCGAAAAAUUAACGCAGCAACAUAAUCUCUCAGCAGCUGUUAUCAACACUUGUAAUUCUAUAUUACAUUACGAAGCAUUGAGGACUAGAACAUCGGAAAGCGUUACGCACGAUGCCAAUUUUAUCAAGCUUGUUAAACAUUGGGAAGAGAGUUGUUUGUUAACAGUAAAUUUAACGAUUACUGUUAGUCCAAUAGAAGAAAGUCUUAUUGAAUUAUUGCAGUUAGAAAAUAAUGUUGACGUUAACUGGUUGAAACAAGCGGAGAAACUUAUUUCCGAGGCGAUUAUCGAUACACAAAAAAAAUUACAAGAAAAGCAAGAUAUUUUACGCAACGCACAUGAUUGCUUAAGGGGACGAGUGACAAGCCUUCAGAAUAUACUUGCAGAACAUCAUAAAUUAAUGUCCGACGUCCGAGUACUAUUAAAGACUAUGGUCAAACAAGAAAAUAUUGUCGGAUUGCAAGAGUUUUUAAACACUUAUCGAUCAUUCACUGAAACUUUAUCUACAGUCGUGAAAGAAUUGGAAUCGGACAUUUUAGAUCCCAAAAGAGGCAUUGCCAUAAAGUCCGAAUUAGAAAACAUGGCGAUUAUGGUACCUAACUUAUAUAACGAGUUGUUGGAAUUUGCUAGUGACCAUAGAUUGAAUUCGAAUAAAGGAUCAGAUAAAGAAUGCUCUCUUAAAAAGAGAGCUAAAUUAAUGAGACAAGAUAGCGUUUGUCUUAGUCCUAAAAAGGGAAUUCCUUUAGCUAGGGAUCCAACUACGGGAAAAGCUGUGCAAGAACGAAAUGCGUAUGCGCUAAAUGUAUGGCGACGCGUGAGAAUGAAAUUAGAGGGACGAGACCCACAUCCAACGCGUAAGUAUACAACGGCCGAGCAAGUGGAAUAUGUAAUACGUGAAGCACAAAGCACUGAUAAUUUAGCUCUCUUAUAUGAGGGUUGGACACCAUGGGUUUGAAGGAACGAAAGUAAACGCAAACGCGUUGAUGGUUAAUCUCUCGUCUCAUAUGGUACUACUAAUUUGUACCAUUCGGUGCUCUACAACGUAGAGGCAAAGACGUCUGUACGAUCAGGUGUAAUACGACCUAGUAUUUCACCUAGGAGAAAAGUCAACACAAGUCCGAUUAAUGGUCGGCUGUGCCAACACAACGAAAAACCUAGCGAGCUGACUAUAAAUCAACUCUGAGCUCUGAUUCUAUGAUUAUCUCAAAAUGAUCAUCUAUGUUGUUCAUAAAGUCCUUUCCCAUCUUACUGGUCAUGGUAUUCUAUCAGAUUGCUUCAGAUACUCUACUUCAAUAAGCUCUAUUAUAUUAUUUGUUUUUGUUAAAUGGUGCAGAAGAAAACAUAUAUGUUUUUGGAAAAAUAUUUUUAACAGAGUAGAGUUCAGAAUACACAUAAUGUUGGGAAAUAGGGUGAUUAUUAUUGAAUGAAAAAGAAAAACUUGCAGAAAGUAUUGAAAAAAAUCUUAUUGAAUGUUAAGCCUGCAAAAGUUUCGACGAAAAAUCAAGAUAAAGUAUAGUCACAAGUAAGAUGGGAUAUAAUCCAAAAGUUGCAAAGUUGAGAUAAUACACAAGUGGAACAUGGUGGUCUGUGCGAUAAAAAGCUGAACAACAAUGGGAAGAAUAAUUAGAUCGGCAUUGGGUAUUAAGUUUCUUUUUCCUAAAGUUUAAGGUAUUAUUCUAAUCAAGGGUUUAUAAUGUUUGGGAAAAACAUAGAAUCUGCCGGGUGUUUACAAUAAUGAAGUAUCAAUGAGAAAUAUAAAUGAGAAAAAAUGUUCAGCUGAGAAUCGUAUUGUGAAGAUCUAUAAAACGAUGUAAGUGUCAACGACUUAUGAUGAUCGUGAUAACAUCAUCUAUGACUAUAAUGUACAGCAUGAGAAGCACUUUCUUGUCAGAAUACUAUAAACCUGAUGUCGUUA
rnacentral:misc_RNA from 1 species